AAUUGUCACAUAUUUAUCACCACAAGCAUGUUCGAAUUCCUGCCAAAUAACAACCUUCCUUUGGGCCGGUGUUAAACGCAUGGAAGACUAAAACACACAGUCAUCUUAUACUUCAAAAUCAAUCAAUCUACACAAAAGAGGUUUCUUUGGUAACAUAAUGUUUCAAUUGACUAAUUUAAAAUAUUUGAUGCUAAACUAAUU
rnacentral:lncRNA from 1 species